rnacentral:rRNA from 1 species
UGGCGGACGGGUGAGAACUAGUGGCGGACGGGUGAGUAACACGUGGGCAACCUGCCUUACAGAGGGGGAUAGCCUUCCGAAAGGAAGAUUAAUACCGCAUAUUAUGAUUUUUCUGCAUGGGAAAGUCAUGAAAGGAGCAAUCCGCUGUAAGAUGGGCCCGCGGCGCAUUAGCUAGUUGGUGAGGUAAGGGCUCACCAAGGCGACGAUGCGUAGCCGACCUGAGAGGGUGAUCGGCCACAUUGGGACUGAGACACGGCCCAGACUCCUACGGGAGGCAGCAGUGGGGAAUAUUGCGCAAUGGGGGAAACCCUGACGCAGCAACGCCGCGUGGGUGAUGAAGGUCUUCGGAUUGUAAAGCCCUGUUUUCUGGGACGAUAAUGACGGUACCAGAGGAGGAAGCCACGGCUAACUACGUGCCAGCAGCCGCGGUAAU